rnacentral:rRNA from 1 species
CCUACGGGUGGCUGCAGUGAGGAAUAUUGGUCAAUGGACGAGAGUCUGAACCAGCCAAGUAGCGUGAAGGAUGACUGCCCUAUGGGUUGUAAACUUCUUUUAUAUGGGAAUAAAACGUUCCACGUGUGGGAUUUUGUAUGUACCAUAUGAAUAAGGAUCGGCUAACUCCGUGCCAGCAGCCGCGGUAAUACGGAGGAUCCGAGCGUUAUCCGGAUUUAUUGGGUUUAAAGGGAGCGUAGGUGGAUUGUUAAGUCAGUUGUGAAAGUUUGCGGCUCAACCGUAAAAUUGCAGUUGAAACUGGCAGUCUUGAGUACAGUAGAGGAGGGCGGAAUUCGUGGUGUAGCGGUGAAAUGCUUAGAUAUCACGAAGAACUCCGAUUGCGAAGGCAGUUCACUGGACUGCAACUGACACUGAGGCUCGAAAGUGUGGGUAUCAAACAGGAUUAGAUACCCUUGUAGUC